AUUGAACGCUGGCGGCAGGCCUAACACAUGCAAGUCGAACGAGUGGCGGACGGGUGAGUAAUGUCUGGGAAAAUGCCUGAUGGAGGGGGAUAACUACUGGAAACGGUAGCUAAUACCGCAUAACAUCAGAUUUGCCCAGAUGGGAGUAGCUAGGUGGUGGGGUAACGGCUCACCAAGGCGACGAUCCCUAGCUGGUCUGAGAGGAUGACCAGCGCCACUGGAAAUGCCACACGGUCCCGACUCCUACGGGAGGUAGCAGUGGGGAAUAUUGCACACUGGGCGCAGGCCUGAUGCCGCCAUGCCGCGUGUAUGAAGAAGGCCUUCGUGUUGUAGGGUACUUGCAUCGGGGAGGCGUUACCCGCAGAAGAAGCACCGGCUAACUCCGUGCCAGCAGCCGCGGUAAUAC
rnacentral:rRNA from 1 species